rnacentral:rRNA from 1 species
CGGUUAAGUUAGAAAGGGCGCACGGUGGAUGCCUUGGCACUAGGAGCCGAUGAAGG